rnacentral:rRNA from 1 species
CCUACGGGUGGCAGCAGUGAGGAAUAUUGGUCAAUGGACGAGAGUCUGAACCAGCCAAGUAGCGUGAAGGAUGACUGCCCUAUGGGUUGUAAACUUCUUUUAUAAAGGAAUAAAACGAGGCACGUGUGCCUUUUUGCAUGUACUUUAUGAAUAAGGACCGGCUAACUCCGUGCCAGCAGCCGCGGUAAUACGGAGGAUCCGAGCGUUAUCCGGAUUUAUGGGGUUUUAAGGGAGCGUAGAUGGGUUGUUAAGUCAGUUGUGAAAGUUUGCGGCUCAACCGUAAGAUUGCAAUUUAUACUGGCAGUCUUGAGUAAAGUGGAGGUAGGCGGAAUUCGUGGUGUAGCGGUGAAAUGCUUAGAUAUCACGAAGAACCCCGAUUGCGGAGGCAGCUUGCUAAACUGUGACUGACAUUGAUGCUCGAAAGUGUGGGUAUCAAACAGGAUUAGAUACCCUUGUAGUC